rnacentral:lncRNA from 1 species
GAUUUUCUUAUUCUUAGAUGAUUCUAAAUUGAAAAUUUACAUACUACCAUGUUGAUAUAAAACUUCCAAGCACAUGACAAAUUAAUAUCCUUUGUAUGUGCAUCAUAAUGGGAAUUCAAACAACAAAUCAACAACACAUUCGCACAACAUAUCAACGAAAGAUAUGGACUUUCCAUAUGGCAUUGCUCAAACCUAUUCAAAACGUAUUAUCCUGCGCUAUUUUCCAUUUUAGACCUCCUAAACAUCAACAUGGCUUCUCAUUAUUUCUAGAAUCAAAUAUAAAAAAUUUCGGAAACAGCGUACAUAACAGUUGCAUACACUCACAAUACAAUUACACAGAAAACAAGUCUAAAAAUAGAAAAAUAAAUCGGCGCGAAUAAAUAUCAAAUACAAUUGCACAAAAUACCUUGCCGGAGCGCUUCAGGUGAGCGGCGUAGGCCUUCACGAACUCGUGUGGAGAGACGUCCUUCACAGUUUUAGCAGUCGCCAUUGAUGCAGCAGAUCUCGAAUCACAGUAGCUCCCAAGACCACUUCCCUAUAAACGAUGGUUUUU